UUGCAGUCCUCGAUGUCGUAG
rnacentral:miRNA from 1 species